UGAUUUUAUUCAUUCCAAUUGUGUGUGUACAAAACAAAAAGAUGAGCUCUCCUUUUAUAGUUACAUAAUCACUCCAUGAAAUUAAUGAAAAAUUAUGGAUCAUAAUUCCUUGUGAGAUAGUGGGAGUUAUAGGGAAGUUAAAGGUUGCUAAUGGGAGAUAGUGGGGAGACUAAGAGAUAUAUAUUAUGAAUAUCUACAUUUAUUUUAAUAAAUUCAUAACACUCCCCCUUGGAUGUUCAUUACAA
rnacentral:lncRNA from 1 species